rnacentral:rRNA from 1 species
ACGAACGCUGGCGGCAGGCCUAACACAUGCAAGUCGAACGCGCGUAGCAAUACGCGAGUGGCGCACGGGUGAGUAACACGUGGGAAUCAACCCUGAGGUUCGGAAUAACCGCGGGAAACUGCGGCUAAUACCGGAUGUCCCCUAUGGGGGAAAGAUUUAUCGCCUUGGGACGAGCCCGCGUCCGAUUAGCUAGUUGGUGAGGUAACGGCUCACCAAGGCUACGAUCGGUAGCUGGUCUGAGAGGAUGACCAGCCACACUGGAACUGAGAUACGGUCCAGACUCCUACGGGAGGCAGCAGUGGGAAUAUUGGGCAAUGGAGGCAACUCUGACCCAGCCAUGCCGCGUGGGUGACGAAGGUCUUCGGAUUGUAAAGCCUUUCGGCGGAGACGAUGAUGACGGUAUCCGCAGAAGAAGCCCCGGCUAACUUCGUGCCAGCAGCCGCAGUAAC